CACGUAGGGGGCAAGCGUUGUCCGGAUUUAUUGGGCGUAAAGAGCUCGUAGGUGGUUCGGUAAGUCGGGUGUUAAACCCCCAGGCUCAACCCGGGGACGCCACUCGAUACUGCUGUGACUAGAGUCCGGUAGGGGAGCGUGGAAUUCCUGGUGUAGCGGUGAAAUGCGCAGAUAUCAGGAGGAACACCAGCGGCGAAGGCGGCGCUCUGGGCCGGUACUGACACUGAGGAGCGAAAGCGUGGGUAGUAAACAGG
rnacentral:rRNA from 1 species